rnacentral:misc_RNA from 1 species
AACCAGGAGGGAUCAUGGGGAAUUGGAGAAUAUCACGUUCAAGCUGUUUGAAAAGACAACCAAAUUGGACCUUAAAGCAACUUGUACAAGAAACUAAUAAAUCUGCGGUGCAACUUCUUUUCCUUCUUCCUUUCUUCUUUCUUCUUUCUCUUAUUCUUCACAGUUUAUUUCUAUUUUGAACUUAUGGGUCCAUUAAAAAUUUUCUAUGCUUCUCAUUGAUUAAAGUGCUAUGUGUUUUGUUCUAUCUUGCUAGUAGACUUCACAAAAUUAGUGUUAAUCAUGCCUUAUUAAUUA